GAUGAACGCUGGCGGCGUGCCUAAUACAUGCAAGUCGAGCGAACGGACGGGAAGCUUGCUUUUCUGAUGUUAGCGGCGGACGGGUGAGUAACACGUGGAUAACCUACCUAUAAGACUGGGAUAACUUCGGGAAACCGGAGCUAAUACCGGAUAAUAUUUUGAACCGCAUGGUUCAAAAGUGAAAGACGGUCUUGCUGUCACUUAUAGAUGGAUCCGCGCUGCAUUAGCUAGUUGGUAAGGUAACGGCUUACCAAGGCAACGAUGCAUAGCCGACCUGAGAGGGUGAUCGGCCACACUGGAACUGAGACACGGUCCAGACUCCUACGGGGGGCAGCAGUAGGGAAUCUUCCGCAAUGGGCGAAAGCCUGACGGAGCAACGCCGCGUGAGUGAUGAAGGUCUUCGGAUCGUAAAACUCUGUUAUUAGGGAAGAACAUAUGUGUAAGUAACUGUGCACAUCUUGACGGUACCUAAUCAGAAAGCCACGGCUAACUACGUG
rnacentral:rRNA from 1 species